rnacentral:rRNA from 1 species
AAAUUGAAGAGUUUGAUCAUGGCUCAGAUUGAACGCUGGCGGCAGGCCUAACACAUGCAAGUCGAACGGUAACAGGAAGCAGCUUGCUGCUUUGCUGACGAGUGGCGGACGGGUGAGUAAUGUCUGGGAAACUGCCUGAUGGAGGGGGAUAACUACUGGAAACGGUGGCUAAUACCGCAUAACGUCGCAAGACCAAAGAGGGGGACCUUCGGGCCUCUUGCCAUCAGAUGUGCCCAGAUGGGAUUAGCUUGUUGGUGAGGUAACGGCUCACCAAGGCGACGAUCCCUAGCUGGUCUGAGAGGAUGACCAGCCACACUGGAACUGAGACACGGUCCAGACUCCUACGGGAGGCAGCAGUGGGGAAUAUUGCACAAUGGGCGCAAGCCUGAUGCAGCCAUGCCGCGUGUAUGAAGAAGGCCUUCGGGUUGUAAAGUACUUUCAGCGGGGAGGAAGGUGUUGUGGUUAAUAACCGCAGCAAUUGACGUUACCCGCAGAAGAAGCACCGGCUAACUCCGUGCCAGCAGCCGCGGUAAUACGGAGGGUGCAAGCGUUAAUCGGAAUUACUGGGCGUAAAGCGCACGCAGGCGGUCUGUCAAGUCGGAUGUGAAAUCCCCGGGCUCAACCUGGGAACUGCAUUCGAAACUGGCAGGCUUGAGUCUUGUAGAGGGGGGUAGAAUUCCAGGUGUAGCGGUGAAAUGCGUAGAGAUCUGGAGGAAUACCGGUGGCGAAGGCGGCCCCCUGGACAAAGACUGACGCUCAGGUGCGAAAGCGUGGGGAGCAAACAGGAUUAGAUACCCUGGUAGUCCACGCCGUAAACGAUGUCUACUUGGAGGUUGUGCCCUUGAGGCGUGGCUUCCGGAGCUAACGCGUUAAGUAGACCGCCUGGGGAGUACGGCCGCAAGGUUAAAACUCAAAUGAAUUGACGGGGGCCCGCACAAGCGGUGGAGCAUGUGGUUUAAUUCGAUGCAACGCGAAGAACCUUACCUGGUCUUGACAUCCACAGAAGAAUCCAGAGAUGGAUUUGUGCCUUCGGGAACUGUGAGACAGGUGCUGCAUGGCUGUCGUCAGCUCGUGUUGUGAAAUGUUGGGUUAAGUCCCGCAACGAGCGCAACCCUUAUCCUUUGUUGCCAGCGGUCCGGCCGGG